UAGAGGCAGAGAUAAGUCAUUUUGUGGUGAAGAGGGAAGGAGAGGUAAGUUUUGGUCUUUUAUUGGCGGAGGAGGAUUGUCAUUUUUAGUAGGGAAUGUUUAUUAUGUUUAAGUAAAGGGGUUGGGUCUAGGAUGUAGCGAGGCGGGGAGACUCGAUCAUCAUCUGGUUAUAUUCUUUGGACCGCCUUUUUGCGAUGAAAGGGAAUCAGAUCCUUGGUCUUUUCUUUUGUCGCAUCAACCUUGACUUUCUCGCAGGUUAAAUUGAGGAUGGUGCGACUUUCCUUUUAAACGGCAACGAUGGAGAUACCACUAAAGGGAUGUGCUUCAAGCAAAAUUUCUCCAUCGUAGAGGGAAAUGGCUUGGCACCUUUUGGGACCUUCAUCUAGGCGAUGAUGGACCCUUGUAUGAUGACACCCAAGUUGAAAGCAUUCUAAGUCAUUCUGCUGUACAGAAUCAUCGCAUAGUCAGAUGAAACUGUAUCGUUAUGCCCAUUGGGAAUAUCUUCUUUUUGAUAAAGAAAAGCACACACUUGCUUCAGUUGUUAGUUGGUGUGGGUACAAUUGAUAUCUUCAAAUGGAAGUGAUUUCUCAUUCUGCACUAGGCCAGGCGGCGGAUGGGCUGAUGCGAUAAAAGAUGCAUGUCCUACCUAUGCGUUGCUAAUUUCUUGAUGUUAUGCAUGAAGUACAAGUUUUUCUCUCUAUUGCCUAAGUGUGAAUGAAGAGAGGUUUCCUGGUAAGUCUAAGGUCGAACUCAGAGAAUUUGUGUUCUAAUUCGGCUUAUCGUGCAACUAACCCUAUACGAUAUACUAUGUACAAUGUAAGUAUAUAGAGUAUGUUUUUUUCUAAUUAUACACACUAAGGUGCAAUUUGAGGUGCAAGUAGGACAUGGCGAUGAACAUUAAUGAAUUGAGAAGUCAUAUAACAAGUAUGGAAUGAAAGAAUAUUUAACUAAUUAAGUGCAGUGUACUAUUUAUUAACACUUCAAGGCGAUACAAAGUAUCUAUUAACUUCAUAAUUAAGGCAAGCAUCCUCUCGGUGCCUUCGACAUACUUGCUCUCCUUUAGGGAUUCAAAUACUGAAAGUUAAUGUAUGAUUUGUAUCUAAUAAAAUUGUAUGCACAAUCGACAAUUUAUCAUAUUUUAA